rnacentral:rRNA from 1 species
GACGUAGGGCGCGAGCGUUGUCCGGAUUUAUUGGGCGUAAAGAGCUCGUAGGCGGUCCAUCGCGUCGGGAGUGAAAAGCUGGGGCUUAACCCCAGUCCUGCUUCCGAUACGGGUGGACUAGAGGUAGGUAGGGGAGAACGGAAUUCCUGGUGUAGCGGUGAAAUGCGCAGAUAUCAGGAGGAACACCGGUGGCGAAGGCGGUUCUCUGGGCCUUACCUGACGCUGAGGAGCGAAAGCAUGGGGAGCAAACAGG